UACGGAGGAUCCGAGCGUUAUCCGGAUUUAUUGGGUUUAAAGGGUGCGUAGGCGGCCUAUUAAGUCAGGGGUGAAAUACGGUGGCUCAACCAUCGCAGUGCCUUUGAUACUGACGGGCUUGAAUCCAUUUGAAGUGGGCGGAAUAAGACAAGUAGCGGUGAAAUGCAUAGAUAUGUCUUAGAACUCCGAUUGCGAAGGCAGCUCACUAAGCUGGUAUUGACGCUGAUGCACGAAAGCGUGGGGAUCGAACAGG
rnacentral:rRNA from 1 species